UUCAGCAACUGUAUGACCUAUUUCUUGCUUAAAAUGUUUCAGAAACAUGCUUCGGUGAACUAUUUUCCUUAACAUUUGUGUUG